AACCGUUCUCUAUUUUUUUUACUCAAAUAAUUAAAAAAAUAAUUAUUUAUUAUAGAUGAUAUAGAACGGUCAUCUUGACAACCGUUUUAUAUUGUAUUAACUUUUUUUUUUUUAAAUUAGGAUGAAAUUGUAUACGUACCGAGUAAUAAUUUACCCAAAUUAUCUAAGGCGGCUAAAUGGGAAAAGUGAAGCGCGCUUCUCUUUCACUUUCACUAGAAUACUAAAUCAAAAAAUACGUGAAACCUCUUCUCACUCAUUCAUCAACAAAAAAAAAAAAAAAAAAAAUUGAAACCUCCAUUAAACCUCCAUAUCAAAACCUUCAUCAGCCGCUUACAGUGUCGCUCCACCGCCGCUCCACGUCUGCAGCACCGCACCAGUAAAUUGAGGAGGAUAUUGUGCACACGCAUGCUGGGAACAAGCAGCUGCAGUUUGCUCUGUUGUCCAGUGUUGUGAUAUGUGGGAACUGAAGGCUGCUGAAGCUAAAGCAAAGCUAUCUGGUGGGGUUUACAGCUUGCUAGAGAGGCUAGGCUGAUGAAAAUAAUCAUUGAUGAGAUUCUAGUUCGUUCCAUUUCAUCAUUGAUGAUAUUAUUGAUGUAGCUAUUUCUGAUUUAUCUAUAUAUAAUUUCUGCCUUGAUGGGUUUCCUAAAAGAAAAAAUCAAGAUUGCAGUGUGGCUUCCAGAGAAUGAUCAAUCCUCAUAAAAGCUUGUUUAUUCGAAUUCAGGUAUUUUUUGAUAUAUGAAUUUCGGUAUUGUUAUAUCUGAUAUCUUUUAUUUGAAUUGUGUAGAGAGGAUUUAUAGUGCCGGAAGAACGUAGAAAUUAUGUAUUAGGGAGAGCUUCAAUCCGCUGGAGAGCUUUCAAGGCCAGAUUAAGAAAGGAUUGGAUGUACGACACCAAGGGAGUAAAUCCAAAUGUGAUUAUUAAAUGCCUAUACGAGGUAACGUGUGCAUUUGAUAGUUGCAGCUUUAAUGUAUCAGUGGCAGUAUAUGAUGAGUAUUUUAAGCAAGUUGCUCAUACAUAUUCUCAACAAAUGAUUGACGAGCUUAGGGAAAGGUGGAUUUCAUAUGUUACCGGAUACCAUCAACCAAAUGACAACGACGAUGAGUUAUGUGAAUUGUAGAUCAAUAUGGUAUUGGUAUAUUUUGGGGCAUCAAUUUUUUUAUUUAAAUCAACAUUAACUAGAAAGGUUUUUGAUAUUUAACUCACGUAUUUGUUUGUAUAGAACAAAUUUUGUAUGAAUGAUUCAAUUUGAUUGUGGUUAGAUGUUUAAAAUUAUAUAUAUGAAGUAUAUUUUGAUGGCUUUCGUCGUAUCUGGAAAUAUUUUUGUUAAUUUUAUUAUACAGAAAGUUAUAUCUCAUGUACAGGAUCUUGGAUUUUUUUUACAAAGGAAAUGUGAAGAUUUUCUUACAGGAUACAAGAUAUAAAACAGGAAUACAGGUCUAAAAUGAAAUACAAAAAUAAUUCAGAUUAUUAAAAUACAGGAAUAAUACGGUAUAAAAUACGUAGAGGGGUAAUUCGAAUAAUUAAAUACAUAUGGCUGGAUUUUUUUUUAAAAAAAAAAAAAUUAGAGAACUGUUAUCUAACUUAACCGUUCUAUAUUGUAAUGCAAUAUAGAACGGUUAAGUGGUCUAAACCGUUCUGUAUUCCUUCCUUAGUGUACGAAUUUAAGAAGGGAAAAGAGAACGGUUGUGACUAACAACCGUUCUCUAUUUGUUAUUAUAUAAAACGCCUAUACGACCCGUUCUCUAUACUUUAUACAUCGCUUAGCAGAAGAACGCCCCUAAGGCGGUCUAUAAAGCCUAUUCUAACCGUUCUCUGAGGCCUUUUUUGUGGUAGUGAUUUGUUUACAUUAUAAUGUUUGUUGUUAUUAGGUUUGUAUAACGAGCGGGAGAUGUGGAUCCCGGCAUAUCUAAAACAUGUUUUUUGGGCCAGUAUGCAAACAACCCAGAGAGUGGAAAGCAUGAACAGCUUUUUUGAUGGGUAUGUGAGGAGGAGCACGCGGUUGUACCAGUUUGCUCCCAGAUAUUGCAAGGCCAUGGAGAGCAGAGCGAUAGAUGAGCAGACGGCUGAUGCGAACAGCAGACGGUUUGUUCGCCCUUUAAUAACUGAGUUAGCUAUGGACCGUGCGUUCCAAAAAUUGUACACGGACGUAAAGUUUAAGGAAGUGCAGAUUCAAUGUCAGAGUCUGAUGUAUUUGACCACUCUGUCCAGGAGGAACAUCUCAGAUGGUUUUGUUGAACAUGUGAUCGAGGACAGAGUAUGGAUUUGGUCAAACUUCAAAAAGAAAGAGGUUCCCGAUCGAGAUGAGAAACGGAUUGUGGUGGUAAAAUUCUGUUUGGAAACGUCGUUUCCAGUGUGUGAUUACAAACACUUUGAAUGCCACGGGAUACCUUGUAGCCACAUUGUGAAGGUGUUGGAUCUGCAUUCUGUGAAAGAGGUGCCGAAAGAACUUGUUCUAGACAGGUGGCGGAAAGAUAUUAAUCGGAAACGUACAAUGGUAAAGGUUGCGUACCAUGAUCCCUCUAAAACAGAAGAUGUGCAGCGAUAUGAUAAGGCAAUGGUUGCCUUGGAAUCGAUUCUACUUAGAGCCAGUAUGUCCGAAGAGUUGAGUGGGUCCUGAUGGAACGAAUUCGGGUCAUGGCAAUGCAACUUGAUGAGAAGGAAGGUAGGGUAGGAGUGGAGUCUGGGAGGCAACAACACUGAGGAGCCGACCAAACACCAAAAUGAGGUGCCACUGCCACUUACCCCUUGCUCUGUUAACAAGGCAGGGGGGCAGCAAAUGACACACGCACUCUAGGUGACACUACCCCCAUGACCCAAUCUACCCCAGUUUAGAUCCCGACAUCUACACUUAUUCAAAACUCAACCGAUCCAACUGCCACCACCGUUUCUCCCUUAGUUCAAGAACCAGUGAGUCGAGCGAGGAAGAAGGCACCCAGUAAACACUAGGCGAAGAAGAAGUUAUCCAACAUAAAGAAGAAGAAGAACCCAAGUAAAGGAAAGGGGAAGGGGAAAAGGAGGGACAGUUCAAGCUCAAGCAGUGAUGAUGAAUCCGACAACAGCAGCGAUAAGAAGAAGAAGUCUGCCAAGAAAAAAAAGAGGAAGAAGAUGGGAAAAAGAAAACACAGUUCAAGCAGCUCAAGCAGCGAUGAAUUUGACAAAAGCGUAGACAUUCAACAAAAAAAUCGUAAAGCCCCAGCAGCAGUAGUAGGACAGGCAUUUUGAUUCACAUGCCAACCACAUGAGAAUGGUUUGACUCAGAAUUCGAUGUUCUAUGCCUAACAACAAAACAAGCGGAUCUUUGUUCAGCAACAGAACCAAGAACAGCUGUUGGGGCAGCUUAACCAACAACAGCAGUUUGGGCAGCAAAACCAACAUCACUUCUUUGGUCAACAACAGAGCAACCAACAAAGCCAACAGUAGCAGCUAUUUGUCCAUCAACAACACAGCCAACAACAGCAGCUAUUUGUCCAUCAAUAACACAACUUCCACCAGGUGGUAAACAACCAGUAGCGGGACUGUGGUGGAGUAACUGACCAAGGAGAUAUGUGUAUGGGUCCCAGCCAACCAAUUCCAACGGCUCGUGGUAACUGUAACCAACACAUUUUUUUUACCCCCGACAUCAAACAUGGGAAGAAUAACUGAUGUUCAAGGACCCCAUAACAAUGGUCAAGGCCCCCCUCCAAUAAAUUAUUCUUCCGCAGGAGGAAUUCAAAUGUCGAACAAAACCACACUUCAAUAUUUUACGAAUAAUUUUACCAGAUGAACAAAAUUGUAGUUUUACGAUGUUUUAGCAGAGGAACAAAAUUGCAGUUUUACAAUGUAAAAUGUAUGUUUCUUUAGGAGUCAAUAGUUAUAUGGCUAUGCCAUGAUACACAGAAGAAACCUAAGUUGUAUAUAAAAAUAGUAACAGUUCAGUACUGGAGUGGCGGAUACACAGAUUAAAAUACGAAGUACAUUCAAAACAUCAAAGAUCAUGUUCAAACGGAUCAGUUUUGUAUGUCUGUAUUUAAGGAUCAUCUUGCUGCA